rnacentral:rRNA from 1 species
GAUGAACGCUGGCGGCGUGCCUAAUACAUGCAAGUCGAGCGAACAGACGAGGAGCUUGCUCCUCUGACGUUAGCGGCGGACGGGUGAGUAACACGUGGAUAACCUACCUAUAAGACUGGGAUAACUUCGGGAAACCGGAGCUAAUACCGGAUAAUAUAUUGAACCGCAUGGUUCAAUAGUGAAAGACGGUUUUGCUGUCACUUAUAGAUGGAUCCGCGCCGCAUUAGCUAGUUGGUAAGGUAACGGCUUACCAAGGCGACGAUGCGUAGCCGACCUGAGAGGGUGAUCGGCCACACUGGACCUGAGACACGGUCCAGACUCCUACGGGAGGCAGCAGUAGGGAAUCUUCCGCAAUGGGCGAAAGCCUGACGGAGCAACGCCGCGUGAGUGAUGAAGGUCUUCGGAUCGUAAAACUCUGUUAUUAGGGAAGAACAAAUGUGUAAGUAACUAUGCACGUCUUGACGGUACCUAAUCAGAAAGCCACGGCUAACUACGU